rnacentral:rRNA from 1 species
AACGAACGCUGGCGGCAUGCCUAACACAUGCAAGUCGAACGAAGCCUUCGGGCUUAGUGGCGCACGGGUGCGUAACACGUGGGAAUCUGCCCUUCGGUUCGGAAUAACAGUUAGAAAUGACUGCUAACACCGGAUGAUGACGAAAGUCCAAAGAUUUAUCGCCGAAGGAUGAGCCCGCGUAGGAUUAGGUAGUUGGUAGGGUAAUGGCCUACCAAGCCGACGAUCCUUAGCUGGUCUGAGAGGAUGAUCAGCCACACUGGGACUGAGACACGGCCCAGACUCCUACGGGAGGCAGCAGUGGGGAAUAUUGGACAAUGGGCGAAAGCCUGAUCCAGCAAUGCCGCGUGAGUGAUGAAGGCCUUAGGGUUGUAAAGCUCUUUUACCAGGGAUGAUAAUGACAGUACCUGGAGAAUAAGCUCCGGCUAACUCCGUG